UACGUAGGGGGCAAGCGUUGUCCGGAUUUACUGGGUGUAAAGGGUGCGCAGGCGGACUGGUAAGUCAGUGGUGAAAUCUCGUCGCUUAACGACGAAACUGCCUUUGAUACUAUCAGUCUUGAAUCCGGUAGAGAUCUGUGGAAUUCCGAGUGUAGCAGUGAAAUGUGUAGAUAUUCGGAAGAACACCAGUGGCGAAGGCAGCAGAUUGGGCCGGUAUUGACGCUCAGGCACGAAAGCAUGGGGAUCAAACAGG
rnacentral:rRNA from 1 species